AAUAUUGGUAACAAAAUGAUCCACAUUUUAUACAGUAUCCCAUUUCCAAACACAGCUCAUGAAAAUCAGGAGAACCUAAAAUAGCACCGUUGAAACCAGUCACUAUCCCAUCGUGCUUCUGUGCAGUUCAGGAUCGGGUUGAAGAUGUUACUUGGAAACUGUCAGUCUUGUUUUCGCAGAUCAAUUUGGAUUUCAACUGAAUGCUUGCUUUAGGAAAACUAGGUAUUCUUACCUAGUAUCGGUCAGCCACGUAUAUGUAGCUCCACCCUUUCUGGAGGAAGGACAGGCUCUAAUUUUAACUGAGAAACCAAAACCAAGCAUUAAGGACCCAUCAGUGUCAAGAGGAAGCACACUAAGAACCACACAGAACACUGGAAAGAGCGGUAUCUGUUUUCACAACUACCACCUGAUGUUAACAAUGAAAAAUUUACAGGAAUAAACUUUUUUGCCCUAACUGGUUUCAAUACAGCACUGAAUUUAACUCGUCUUUGGCCAAAAUUUAUUUCUUCUUGAUGAUGAUAGCCUAGUUACAUAAUACAUCAAUCUGAAUACAGCUUUUCCUACAUUUUAACUCUUUAGUACUCGCACAACCAUUGCCAGCAGUGGAUCUGGACCAGUACCAGCCAACUCAAAACACAUCAUAAAACAUCUGAAUGGCAUUUUUAAAAUGAUGUCAGUUUGUUUCCUCAGAAAUUUAAAUGCAUAAUCUGAAAACAUCACAUCUUCAAUUUAGUCCUUAGGGUGAAGAAAUAUUUUUUACAUCAUUAAAUCCAACUUGUGGUUGAUACAUUUUAACUACCAUUCUCUAAAGGAUCCCAAAGCUAGUGUGUGCUCUGUACCUGGCCUGUGGGACUCAAAAGCUCUGGGCGCCCUAAGGAGUUGAAUUCUGUUCUAAUGCAGACCUGCACAAGUGCCCUCAAAUGUCUAGGUUCCAAAUGGUCCAACCCUGCUUUGUUGGACCGUGUGCCAUGUAUGAAGGUUUGGUUUGGCUUUUGUUUUUAAAGGACCAAGCAACACGACACUAUAAAGACAGGAAACUUUUUUUGCAGGCAAGUUUGCAGUGUGCGUACACCAUUCCACUUGUAUUUAAGGACUUCAGAUGAACUUGAAAUUAAUACAGAUAUGAUAGUGAUGGCCAUUAGAAGAUGCUGAUUGUUUUAAUAAUAUGUUCCCAGAUGGGUGAAACAGGGAACAUUUGCCAUGGCUUCUGUCACACUGGCCUCUGGCUGUGUUGGGAAAGCUACCAUAUAAAAAUGCCCAUAAAAUAGAAAAGGCAGCAAGUGAAACCAGAAAAAGGCUGGAGCUAAAUGAAGCAGAUUUGAAAGGAGUUACCUUUACUUUCUCUGAGCUAAGUUGAGAAACACAUGGGCACCUGGAUUGGGCUCCACUGCUGCCCUGAACACACAUGGAUGGCCACGGAGAAGUGUCCCCAGCCCAGGGACAUGGCCACAGAGGGGCGUCACCAGCCCAGGGACAGCCCCAGGUAAGGAGAGCCGGUCCUCUAAGGAGAAGUACAAGGCAGAACAAAACAAACCACGAUUAAAUACAUGACACUGUGAAAUAACUCUGAUGAGAAAACAGAACACAAAGAUAUUUAAAAAUAUAAAUAAAUAUAUUUAGCCAUUUUUAUUCAAGAAACCCAGAGAACUGCUCUCAAAGCAAUUGCUUCUUUAAAAACCACUUUCUAAAUUCUCUCAUAAAUACUAUUUUGAUUGUCACUUAAUGCAGCACCUCAGUGUUUGCUGGUGGUGGUGAUGGAAUUUUACUUAAUGACAUCUCUUCAUAAACUACAUUCUAUUUCACUAAAGAACGUUUCCAUAGGAAAGCCCAGGCAGCUUACAAAACAUAGUUACUCAAAAACAACCUGCAAAGUAUUGUUUUAUUUAAGAAAAACAAGGAAUGUAGUGUUAAAUUAUGA
rnacentral:lncRNA from 1 species